rnacentral:lncRNA from 1 species
CUCCUUUUGCCUAUAUUUAGUCCUCCAAGAGAAAACCCUUCCAUCACAUCCAGAAUCGGGAAUUUCUCCAUCAUUCCGCCACCGCAGCGCUUCCGAGAUCGGGAGCGUUAGGAGACAUCUUCCUGGCACCCUCCCGGAGGGAGGAUUGACCUCCGAGAGCUUCUCCACCGCCAUGGACACUUCCUGGACGUGCCGUGAGUCGUCAUCCUUGGACCAUGGGUCCAUGACUAGUAGCUAUCUGAUGUCUUCUCUCCAAUCUUGUGCUUCAAUGGUUAAGCCUUGUGAGCUGCCCUACAUGAUCAAGGCAUCUAUGUAAUUCUCUUGCUAUAUCUAUGCUCGGUUUGU